AGAGUUUGAUCAUGGCUCAGAACGUACGCUGGCGGCACGCCUAACACAUGCAAGUCGAACGCAGUAGCAAUACUGAGUGGCAAACGGGUGAGUAUAAUGUGGGAAUCUGCCUUUUGGUUUGGAAUAACACGGGGAAACUUGUGCUAAUACCGAAUAAGCCCUUACGGGGAAAGUUUUAACGCCGAAAGAUGAGCCUGCACUUGAUUAGCUAGUUGGUAAGGUAAAAGCUUACCAAGGCAACGAUCAAUAGCUGUUCUUAGAGGAAGACCAGCCACAUUGGGACUGAGACACGGCCCAGACUCCUACGGGAGGCAGCAGUGGGGAAUCUUGCACAAUGGGGGAAACCCUGAUGCAGCGAUGCCGCGUGAGUGAAGAAGGCCUUUGGGUUGUAAAGCUCUUUCGUCGGGGAAGAAAAUGACUGUACCCGAAUAAGAAGGUCCGGCUAACUUCGUGCCAGCAGCCGCGGUAAUACGAAGGGACCUAGCGUAGUUCGGAAUUACUGGGCUUAAAGAGUUCGUAGGUGGUUGAAAAAGUUGGUGGUGAAAUCCCAGAGCUUAACUCUGGAACUGCCAUCAAAACUUUUCAGCUAGAGUAUGAUAGAGGAAAGCAGAAUUUCUAGUGUAGAGGUGAAAUUCGUAGAUAUUAGAAAGAAUACCAAUUGCGAAGGCAGCUUUCUGGAUCAUUACUGACACUGAGGAACGAAAGCAUGGGUAGCGAAGAGGAUUAGAUACCCUCGUAGUCCAUGCCGUAAACGAUGUGUGUUAGACGUUGGAAAUUUAUUUUCAGUGUCGCAGCGAAAGCGAUAAACACACCGCCUGGGGAGUACGACCGCAAGGUUAAAACUCAAAUGAAUUGACGGGGACCCGCACAAGCGGUGGAGCAUGUGGUUUAAUUCGAAGCUACGCGCAGAACCUUACCAACACUUGACAUGUCUGUCGCGGAAUCCAGAGAUGGAUUCUUUCGGUUCGGCCGGACAGAACACAGGUGCUGCAUGGCUGUCGUCAGCUCGUGUCGUGAGAUGUUGGGUUAAGUCCC
rnacentral:rRNA from 1 species